rnacentral:rRNA from 1 species
UACGUAGGGUGCGAGCGUUGCCCGGAUUUAUUGGGCGUAAAGGGCGCGUAGGCGGCCAACUAAGUCAGACGUGAAAUCCCCAGGCUCAACCUGGGAACUGCGUCUGAUACUGGAUGGCUUGAAUUCGGGAGAGGGAUGCAGAAUUCCAGGUGUAGCGGUGAAAUGCGUAGAUAUCUGGAGGAAUACCGAUGGCGAAGGCAGCCCCCUGGGCCAAUACUGACGCUCAUGCACGAAAGCGUGGGGAGCAAACAGG